rnacentral:rRNA from 1 species
GACGAACGCUGGCGGCGUGCUUAACACAUGCAAGUCGAACGGAAAGGCCCUGCUUUUGCGGGGUGCUCGAGUGGCGAACGGGUGAGUAACACGUGAGUAUCCUGCCCUUGACUUUGGGAUAACUUCUGGAAACUGGGGCUAAUACCGGAUAGGAUCUUCUGCUGCAUGGUGGGGGUUGGAAAGUUUCGGCGGUUGGGGAUGGACUCGCGGCUUAUCAGCUUGUUGGUGGGGUAGUGGCUUACCAAGGCUUUGACGGGUAGCCGGCCUGAGAGGGGGACCGGGCACAUUGGGACUGAGAGACGGCCCAGACGCGUACGGGAGGCAGCAGUGGAGAGUAUUACGCAGUGAGCGGGAGCGAGAUGCAGAAACGCCGCGUGCGGGAUAACGGCCUUCGGGUUGUAAACCGAUUUCGCCGGUAACGAAGCGUGAGUGACGGUAAUGGGUAAAGAAGCACCGGCUAACUACGUG